CGGAUUGGAGUCUGNAACCCGACUCCAUGAAGCUGGAUUCGCUAGUAAUCGCGCAUCAGCCACGGCGCGGUGAAUACGUUCCCGGGCCUUGUACACACCGCCCGUCAAGCCAUGGAAGCCGGGAGUGCCUGAAGUGCGUGAGCGCAAGCAGCGCCCUAAGGUAAAACCGGUGACUGGGGCUAAGUCGUAACAAGGUAAC
rnacentral:rRNA from 1 species